GUUGUCGUCAGCUCGUGCCGUGAGGUGUCGGCUUAAGUGCCAUAACGAGCGCAACCCUUUUCUACGUUUGCCAUCGGGUAAUGCCGGGAACUCCGUGGAUACUGCCGCCGCAAGGCGGAGGAAGGUGGGGAUGACGUCAAAUCAGCACGGCCCUUACGUCCGGGGCUACACACGUGUUACAAUGGUCGGAGCAGCAGGAAGCUACCUGGCGACAGGAUGCUGAUCCCGAAACCCGGCCUCAGUUCGGACUGGAGUCUGCAACCCGACUCCACGAAGCCGGAUUCGCUAGUAAUCGCGCAUCAGCCAUGGCGCGGUGAAUACGUUCCCGGGCCUUGUACACACCGCCCGUCAAGCCAUGAAAGCCGGGGGUGCCUGAAGUCCGUGACCGCAAGGGUCGGCCUAGGGUAAAACUGGUGAUUGGGGCUAAGUCGUAACAAGGUAGCCGUACCGGAAGGUGCGGCUGGAACACCUCCUUUCUGGAG
rnacentral:rRNA from 1 species